rnacentral:tRNA from 1 species
GCGGGUGUGGUGAAACUGGUAGACGCGCGGGAUUCAAAAUCCCGUUCCGCAAGGAGUGUCGGUUCGAGCCCGACCACCCGCACCA